GAUGAACGCUAGCGGCAGGCUUAAUACAUGCAAGUCGAGGGGCAGCGCGGGUAGCAAUACCUGGCGGCGACCGGCAAACGGGUGCGGAACACGUACGCAACCUUCCUUUAAGUGGAGAAUAGCCCGGGGAAACCCGGAUUAAUACUCCGUAAUAUUAUGAAGUGGCAUCACUUUAUAAUUAUAGAUUUAUCGCUUAAAGAUGGGCGUGCGCCUGAUUAGGUAGUUGGCGGGGUAAUGCCCACCAAGCCUUCGAUCAGUAACUGGUGUGAGAGCACGACCAGUCACACGGGC
rnacentral:rRNA from 1 species